rnacentral:misc_RNA from 1 species
GAUGAAGAACGCAGCGAAAUGCGAUAAGUAAUGUGAAUUGCAGAGUUCAGUGAAUCAUCGAAUCUUUGAACGCACAUUGCGCCCGUCAGUAUUCUGACGGGCAUGCCUGUCCGAGCGUCAUUUCAACCCUCAGGCCCCCGGGCCUGGCGUUGGGGAUCGGCGGAGCCCCCCGUGGGCACACGCCGUCCCCCAAAUACAGUGGCGGUCCCGCCGCAGCUUCCAUCGCGUAGUAGCUAACACCUCGCGACUGGAGAGCGGCGCGGCCACGCCGUAAAACACCCAACUCUUCUGAAGUUGACCUCGAAUCAGGUAGGAAUACCCGCUGAACUUAAGCAUAUCAAUAAGCGGAGGA